AAGCACACCACUUUAGCCCCAAAAAAAAAACAAAAGAAAAGAAAAGGACAAGCAUUCCACACUCCGUCGGACGCCGUCCACCGUUGUCAGCCCUGCGUGGUUGUUCUUUCUCAGACAAGUAGUGUAGAAGGCUCGAACUCUGGGUCUUUCCCAAAAUCCGAAUGGCAACUACAGUGGAGGAUUGGUCACAGUAUGGAAUUUCAAUGGAGGAAAAAGACAAGCUUGUUGGAGAAGUAAUCCGUUAUAUGCUUUUUAAAACUCAUCAAAACUCAGGGUGCCCAAUUAAGAGAACUGAGCUUACUCAACUGGUUACUAAAAAUUAUCACCAGCGUAACCUUCCUGCUUCUGUGAUAAAUGAGGCCACAUAUAAGCUUUCUAGCAUAUUCGGCUAUGAAAUGAGAGAGCUUCAAAGAUCCCAACCGUCGUCCAAAAACCAGUCACAGCUUUCUCAACAAAAUGUUGCAGAUUCAAAAUCCUACAUCCUCAUUAGUCAGCUACCUCCCAAUGUUUACAAAAAAUAUGUUGUGGAUGUAAAUACUGCACAUCUGACUGGUUUCACUUUUGUCAUUGUUAGCAUUGUACAUCUUGCUGGUGGGAAAAUUCCUGCGGAAAGUCUCUUUACCCAUAUGAGGAGAAUGGGUUUGUCUGAAAAUGAAGAAAGCCAUCCCCUAUUUGGAAACGUCAAGCAUGCAUUAGAACUUCUUGUUCAGCAAAGAUAUUUACAGAAGGACAACGUCAAUGGUCCUGAGGGCAAUACUCUAUAUUAUGAACUCGCUGAAAGAGCUUUAGAUGGACCCAUUAGUGACAAGAUCAAAGAAUAUGUAUCUCAGGACUUCGGGAGGGUUCUAGCUGUAUAAAUGAGUGCAUUAUAUGCCUCAUGGAGCUAGUUUUUUGGGGAAAGAGUAAUGGCCCCAUGACAACGCGCCUUUCUAGCACCUUGCGCUUAAGGCAUUUUAUAGACCUUGCGUUUUGAGUGCAUCUUUCGCUUUUAUCAACACUAAUCUAAAUGAGAUUGUGAAGAACGACCACAAUCCAGUGGAUGAUGAUUAGACUCAGUAUUCCAACAGGGAUAAUUACAUGUCUUGGACUGGUCACUGAGUUCCUUAGUUGCCUUUUUUGUUAUGAUCAGCAAAUUCUGUAGGUUGGAUGAUGCAUCGGGCAGUUAUAUUUGAAUGCUUCGAGCUUAAUGACUUGGUUGAUAUGAUUUGAUCAUUUCUUGCAUAAAUUAUAUAUAUAUAUAUAUAUAUAUUUUGAUAGCUUCUAACUCA